GGGCCCGUAGUGUAAUGGUAGCACAAGACUCUCCAAAAGUCUUAGUCCGAGUUCAAAUCCUGGCGGGCCUG
rnacentral:tRNA from 1 species